UGAUAGUAACGAAGUGAUUGAUCCUACACUGUCGAGAAAAGCUUCUAGGUAGAGACACAUCGCCCGUACCAAAACCGACACAAGUAGGCGGGGAGAGAAUCCUAAGGUGCGCGGGAAAACCCUCGUUAAGGAACUCGGCAAAAUGCCUCCGUAACUUCGGGAAAAGGAGGACUCAUGUAGUGUGAAGAGCAGCAACGCUUGGAGCAUGAAUGAGUGGCACAAGAGAGGCGCAAGCGACUGUUUACCACAAACACAGGUGCCUGCUAAAGCGAAAGCUGAUGUAUAGGUGCUGACACCUGCCCGGUGCUGGAAGGUUAAGAGGAGGGGUUAGACUUCGGUCGAAGCUCUGAAUUGAAGCCCCAGUAAACGGCGGCCGUAACGAUAACGGUCCUAAGGUAGCGAAAUUCCUUGUCGGGUAAGUUCCGACCCGCACGAAAGGUGUAACGACUUGCGCACUGUCUCAACGAGGGACCCGGUGAAAUUGAAGUACCUGUGAAGAUGCAGGUUACCCGCGACUGGACAGAAAGACCCCAUGGAGCUUUACUGCAACCUAAGAUUGAACUUAGUUAAUGAAUGUACAGGAUAGGUGGGAGACUUAGAAUCUAGGACGCCAGUUUUAGAGGAGUCGUUGUUGGGAUACCACCCUUUCAUUAAUUGAUUUCUAACGGGCCGAGUAACGACCGGCCGGACAGUCUUAGGCGGGCAGUUUGACUGGGGCGGUCGCCUCCUAAAGAGUAACGGAGGCGCCCAAAGGUUCCCUCAGAGCGGACGGAAAUCGCUCGAAGAGUGUAAAGGCAGAAGGGAGCUUGACUGCGAGACGGACAGGUCGAGCAGGGACGAAAGUCGGGCUUAGUGAUCCGGUGGUGCCGAGUGGAAGGGCCAUCGCUCAACGGAUAAAAGCUACCCUGGGGAUAACAGGCUAAUCUCUCCCAAGAGUCCAUAUCGACGGGGAGGUUUGGCACCUCGAUGUCGGCUCAUCACAUCCUGGGGCUGAAGUAGGUCCCAAGGGUUCGGCUGUUCGCCGAUUAAAGUGGUACGUGAGCUGGGUUCAGAACGUCGUGAGACAGUUCGGUCCCUAUCCAUCGCGGGCGUAAGAAACUUGAAGGGGGCUGCUCCUAGUACGAGAGGACCGGAGUGGACGAACCGCUGGUGUACCAAUUAUCCUGCCAAGGGUACAGUUGGGUAGCUACGUUCGGGACGGAUAAACGCUGAAAGCACCUAAGCGUGAAACCAGCCUUGAGAUGAGGUUUCUCAUAGCAUAAGCUAGUAAGAUCCCAUGUAGACGACAUGGUUGAUAGGCCAGGUGUGGAAGAGCCGUGAGGUUUGGAGCUGACUGGUACUAAUAGAUCGAGGGCUUUACU
rnacentral:rRNA from 1 species